GCUAGCCUGUUUGUGUAUGGCCCAUGAGCUAAGAAUGGCUUUUACAUUUUGAAGUGGUUAGAAAAAAAUCAAAAUCAAAAUAUUCUGUGAUGCAUGAAAAUUACAUGAAAUUCACAUUUCAGCAUCCAUAAAUAAAGUUUGAUUGGCACACGGCCAGGCCCAAGCUCUCACAUGUUGUCUACAUCUGCUUUCAAGCUCCAUCGGGAGAGCUGAGUAGUUGAGAUAGUGACCAUCUGGGCCUCAAAAGCUAAAACAUUUACUAUCUAGCCCUUUAUAGAGAAUGUUUGCUGAUCCCCACUUCCUUGGAAUACUAAAACAUCCUGUGGGCUUCCUUUGCUCAAAUAAAAUAAAGGCACUGCUCAAAUAAAAUAAUGGCACUUGCGCCAAUCUGCAGAAAUAUUUAUUGAAUAGGUUCCUCGAAUUUAAAACAUUUUCCCUACCAAUAUUUCUUAAACCCUUGGUAGAUAUUUCCUCUUAUUUGCUAAUGAAGAGUAGCCAACAACAAAACAAAAACUAAUGUGAUACCCUGCAGGUUUCACAUUAUUGGGAAGCCCUGUACCAGUCUGUCUCACCCAAUCAACAGCAGUUUUAAAGAAUGUAUGCUCAUAGUUGAUACUGCGCACACUCUCGUUUUUGUUUUUUGUUUUGUUUUGUUUUGUUUUGUU
rnacentral:lncRNA from 10 species